UACGUAGGGUGCGAGUGUUGUCCGGAAUUAUUGGGCGUAAAGGGCUCGUAGGCGGUUUGUCGCGUCGGGAGUGAAAACUCAGGGCUUAACCCUGAGCCUGCUCCCGAUACGGGCAGACUAGAGGUAUGCAGGGGAGAACGGAAUUCCUGGUGUAGCGGUGAAAUGCGCAGAUAUCGGGAGGAACACCGGUGGCGAAGGCGGUUCUCUGGGCCUGACCUGACGCUGAGGAGCGAAAGCGUGGGGAGCGAACAGG
rnacentral:rRNA from 1 species